UACGAAGGGGGCUAGCGUUGUUCGGAUUUACUGGGCGUAAAGCGCACGUAGGCGGAUUGUUAAGUCAGGGGUGAAAUCCCAGAGCUCAACUCUGGAACUGCCUUUGAUACUGGCAAUCUCGAGUCCGGAAGAGGUGAGUGGAACUCCUAGUGUAGAGGUGGAAUUCGUAGAUAUUAGGAAGAACACCAGUGGCGAAGGCGGCUCACUGGUCCGGAACUGACGCUGAGGUGCGAAAGCGUGGGGAGCAAGCAGG
rnacentral:rRNA from 1 species